UACAGAGGGUGCGAGCGUUAAUCGGAGUUACUGGGCGUAAAGGGCGCGUAGGCGGUUUAAUGGGUGUGAUGUGAAAGCCCCGAGCUUAACUUGGGAAGUGCAUCGCAAACUGUUGAGCUGGAGUACAAGAGAGGGUGGCGGAAUUUCCGGUGUAGCGGUGAAAUGCGUAGAGAUCGGAAGGAACGUCAAUGGCGAAGGCAGCCACCUGGCUUGAUACUGACGCUGAGGCGCGAAAGCGUGGGGAGCGAACAGG
rnacentral:rRNA from 1 species